AUUGAACGCUGGCGGAAUGCUUUACACAUGCAAGUCGAACGGCAGCACGGGGCAACCUGGUGGCGAGUGGCGAACGGGUGAGUAAUACAUCGGAACGUGCCCAAUCGUGGGGGAUAACGUAGCGAAAGUUACGCUAAUACCGCAUACGAUCUACGGAUGAAAGCGGGGGAGUCGCAAGACCUCGCGCGAAUGGAGCGGCCGAUGUCAGAUUAGGUAGUUGGUGGGGUAAAGGCUCACCAAGCCGACGAUCUGUAGCUGGUCUGAGAGGACGACCAGCCACACUGGGACUGAGACACGGCCCAGACUCCUACGGGAGGCAGCAGUGGGGAAUUUUGGACAAUGGGCGGAAGCCUGAUCCAGCCAUGCCGCGUGAGUGAAGAAGGCCU
rnacentral:rRNA from 1 species